GGGACUUUAGUAUAAUGGUUAAUAUGUGUGGCUUUUAACCAUCGAGAUGUGGGUUCGAAUCCUGCAAGUCCUA
rnacentral:tRNA from 1 species